UGUGUUGUUGGGUAGGGGAGCGUUCUGUAAGCCUGUGAAGGUGUACUGUGAGGUAUGCUGGAGGUAUCAGAAGUGCGAAUGCUGACAUAAGUAACGAUAAAGCGGGUGAAAAGCCCGCUCGCCGGAAGACCAAGGGUUCCUGUCCAACGUUAAUCGGGGCAGGGUGAGUCGACCCCUAAGGCGAGGCCGAAAGGCGUAGUCGAUGGGAAACAGGUUAAUAUUCCUGUACUUGGUGUUACUGCGAAGGGGGGACGGAGAAGGCUAUGUUGGCCGGGCGACGGUUGUCCCGGUUUAAGCGUGUAGGCUGGUUUUCCAGGCAAAUCCGGAAAAUCAAGGCUGAGGCGUGAUGACGAGGCACUACGGUGCUGAAGCAACAAAUGCCCUGCUUCCAGGAAAAGCCUCUAAGCAUCAGGUAACAUCAAAUCGUACCCCAAACCGACACAGGUGGUCAGGUAGAGAAUACCAAGGCGCUUGAGAGAACUCGGGUGAAGGAACUAGGCAAAAUGGUGCCGUAACUUCGGGAGAAGGCACGCUGAUAUGUAGGUGAAGUCCCUCGCGGAUGGAGCUGAAAUCAGUCGAAGAUACCAGCUGGCUGCAACUGUUUAUUAAAAACACAGCACUGUGCAAACACGAAAGUGGACGUAUACGGUGUGACGCCUGCCCGGUGCCGGAAGGUUAAUUGAUGGGGUCAGCGCAAGCGAAGCUCUUGAUCGAAGCCCCGGUAAACGGCGGCCGUAACUAUAACGGUCCUAAGGUAGCGAAAUUCCUUGUCGGGUAAGUUCCGACCUGCACGAAUGGCGUAAUGAUGGCCAGGCUGUCUCCACCCGAGACUCAGUGAAAUUGAACUCGCUGUGAAGAUGCAGUGUACCCGCGGCAAGACGGAAAGACCCCGUGAACCUUUACUAUAGCUUGACACUGAACAUUGAGCCUUGAUGUGUAGGAUAGGUGGGAGGCUUUGAAGUGUGGACGCCAGUCUGCAUGGAGCCGACCUUGAAAUACCACCCUUUAAUGUUUGAUGUUCUAACGUUGACCCGUGAUCCGGGUUGCGGACAGUGUCUGGUGGGUAGUUUGACUGGGGCGGUCUCCUCCUAAAGAGUAACGGAGGAGCACGAAGGUUGGCUAAUCCUGGUCGGACAUCAGGAGGUUAGUGCAAUGGCAUAAGCCAGCUUGACUGCGAGCGUGACGGCGCGAGCAGGUGCGAAAGCAGGUCAUAGUGAUCCGGUGGUUCUGAAUGGAAGGGCCAUCGCUCAACGGAUAAAAGGUACUCCGGGGAUAACAGGCUGAUACCGCCCAAGAGUUCAUAUCGACGGCGGUGUUUGGCACCUCGAUGUCGGCUCAUCACAUCCUGGGGCUGAAGUAGGUCCCAAGGGUAUGGCUGUUCGCCAUUUAAAGUGGUACGCGAGCUGGGUUUAGAACGUCGUGAGACAGUUCGGUCCCUAUCUGCCGUGGGCGCUGGAGAACUGAGGGGGGCUGCUCCUAGUACGAGAGGACCGGAGUGGACGCAUCACUGGUGUUCGGGUUGUCAUGCCAAUGGCACUGCCCGGUAGCUAAAUGCGGAAGAGAUAAGUGCUGAAAGCAUCUAAGCACGAAACUUGCCCCGAGAUGAGUUCUCCCUGAC
rnacentral:rRNA from 1 species